GCCGGAGUGGCGGAACUGGCAGACGCACAGGACUUAAAAUCCUGCGGACUUAAUCAUCCGUACCGGUUCGAUUCCGGUCUCCGGCACCA
rnacentral:tRNA from 1 species